GGGGAGGGCUUAGUCGACGGAUCUGCCUCUGGGGAGACUGGUAGCCUUAGACCCAGGAGGCGACUUCUGCGGUGGACACCCCGGCUUCCGGAGGAGAGGGAAGGAGGGCGGCGGGCCUGCGGCUCAGGAGUGAGGCACAAUGGAAUCUGGCUUCACCACCAAGGACACUUAUCUGAGCCAUUUUAAUUCCCAUGAUUAGCUAGAACAAUAUUACAACUUUGGGUCCAGACAAUCUGCAGGAAACCAGAUUGUUGGCCACUUUGUGAAAAAUCUCUUCAAGAUAUUCUGCCUGGAGAUGAGAGCACAUGACCUUCAGAGUGGAACAGGAUGGGAGCUGGACCUAGGAAGAUGCUUGACCUGCUCUUUGGAACGAAUCAUGGAGUCCAUAUAUAAAUGCAUUGUUGGGGGUUCCACAAGAAGAAGAAGACAGAAAAAAAAAAGCUGUUUUCCCUGCUCAGUGCAGAUGUCAGUCAGUACCGAACCAUUCAGGGAAUGUGGCGGAAAUUACAUAUACAGAAAAGUCAGAUUGAAUUGGAAAUCCUGCUUGUAGCUCACUGCCCUCAUGGUGCUGGCAGCUUAAACCUAACGUUCAUUUAUUUCAACCUCUCUGAGAACUGGGAUAUGAUCAAACUCCGUACUUCUGGGCAAAUGGAAGGAACCAAAAGGAAAGUAACAGAAGAAACUAAAUGAGCCCCCUGGGAAAGCGAGCCAGAGUGGACAUUCUGGCAAAGUAGCAGAAUAACUUCUUGUUUAAAUGAGAAACGAUUUAGAAGUCAGUCAUGCACAAAAAGUGAUUAAACAAAACAGUUAUAAAUGUGGUAUCUUCAUAAGGAACAGACUGAAGAAAAUGAUUAGGAAAUAAUUAAAAGGAAAACAGAAUAUUCCACAAGCAGGGAAAUGUGUUGAAAAAAAAUAAAGCGAUCAUUCUUUUCCCUUGAGCUUCUUCUUCUAGCCGGAAAAAAAUCCCUGUUUCUGUCCAUAAUUUGAAGAAUCUAGAACAUUGAAUUUAUUCACAGGAAUAGGUAACUAUACUUACCAUCUAAUCAGAGAAAUUCUAAAGGGAAAUGAGUUCUGUACACAUCAGAGGUACCCUAGAGACUCAACUGUUCAUAACUCUGCGUGACGAGGGGGGAAAGUGCCAUAUUCCUGUUAAAGAGCAACACAGUUGGUUAAAGAAUGAACAAAAAGCAGCAUUUCUUCAUUAGUGUCUUUGCAGGGAGCUGAUGCUGUAAAAGCUGGAGGCCAUCAAAUGGGAUAUUGCAGCAAUAAAACAGAAUGGAAAAAUGAAAUGAUC
rnacentral:lncRNA from 1 species